CUCAGAGGGUGAUCCUGGUUUGAGGACAGAUGGCUCCGUGGAAGUCUCUUCCUGUUAUAAACCUGCAACAUAGUGUACCAUCCUUUGAUCAUCAGGGAAUGGGGAAUGUUGUGAGGCAACUAGAAAUAAAGAAUCUUAUGGAGUGACAGAUAUCGUGUCUCAAAGGGGCUCACUUCAUGGGCUAGCACUCACAUUAGUCCCAACUUAGCUUCUGGAUAAACUUGACAUCCCCUCAUUUUAAUUGUUGAAAAUGACCUGCACUAGAAAUACAGAAUCAUGGGGCUGAGAUCACAGAAACAGAACUUUAUUAUAGAUAAGAGAACAAAAAUACUUCACCUCUGGAUGUUGCAUGUAAUACUAACUUCUCUGAGAGAAAAUAUGUCACCUGGAACUAACAGCCUCAAGCUCACCACAAGGGGGAAGCUGAGUUUCAUUUCUGACUCUAAGAAUUGAGGCUAAGUCAGAAACAACUUUUAGAUAAUGUUUUUCACCUCUUAGCUCAGAGAGCCGAGAAGCACUUUGGCCAAUAGAAAAGCAUCCACUAUUGUGACAACGCAGCAUUCAUUAAGUAUUUCAUUCCAAAAACUGAAGGUGACAGGCACUGGAAUGAUUGUGGGUUUAAAAAAACUGAUUUCAGAACAGCUUGCAGAAGUCAGAACUUGUUAAAAAGGAGAAGUGCUUUUAAAAGCAGAAGACCCAGCAAAGCUGUCAUCUUUCAUUUUGCUUCACGAUAGUCCACCAUGUCAGCUGCCCUGCCACUUGGUCUAUCACAGUGGCACCCACCAGUUGACAGCUACUGCUUUAUGGUACAUUCAUAGCACUUCUGGAACCAAAUGAUCCAUCAAAUGAGUUUGCAGGUUUUCAACUUCCAAUGUGGACAAGAAAUUGAAUCAAUAAUGAAAUUGUGUGCAUGUGUAUAUAUAAAUGUUUGGCCAUACUGGAUGUUCAAACUGAUUGCAACUCUU